UACGUAGGGUGCAAGCGUUGUCCGGAAUUAUUGGGCGUAAAGAGCUCGUAGGCGGUUUGUCGCGUCUGCUGUGAAAAUCCAGGGCUUAACCCUGGACCUGCAGUGGGUACGGGCAGACUAGAGUGCGGUAGGGGAGAUCGGAAUUCCUGGUGUAGCGGUGGAAUGCGUAGAGAUCGGGAGGAACACCCGUAGCGAAGGCGGCACUCUGGGCCGGUACUGACGCUGAGGAGCGAAAGCGUGGGGAGCAAACAGG
rnacentral:rRNA from 1 species